GAUGAACGCUGGCGGCGUGCCUAAUACAUGCAAGUCGAGCGAACAGACGAGGAGCUUGCUCCUCUGACGUUAGCGGCGCGCGGGUGAGUAACACGUGGAUAACCCACCUAUAAGACUGGGAUAACUUCGGGAAACCGGAUCUUAUACCGGAUAAUAUCUUGCACCGCAUGGGUCAUUAGUGAGAGUCGGCUGUGGUGGCACUACUAGAGGCAUCUGCGCGGCUUUAGCUGGUUGGUAAGGUAACGGCCUACCAAGGCAACCAUGCGUAGACGACGUGCCAGGGUGGUCGGCGACACUGGAACUGAGACACGGUCCAGACUCCUACGGGAGGCAGCAGUAGGGAACCUUCCGCAGUAGGCGAGAGCAUGACGGAGCGACGCCGCGUGAGUGAUGGAGGUCUUCGGAUCGUAAAACUCUGUUAUUAGGGGAAAACAAAUUUGUCAGUAACUGUGCACGUCUUGACGGUACCUAGUCAGAAAGCCACGGCUAACUACGUG
rnacentral:rRNA from 1 species